UUAGGAAUAUUGGACAAUGGGCGCAAGCCUGAUCCAGCCAUGCCGCGUGAGUGAUGAAGGCCUUCGGGUUGUAAAGCUCUUUAGCCGACGAAUAUAAUGACUGUAGUCGGAGAAUAAGCCCCGGCUAACUUCGUGCCAGCAGCCGCGGUAAUAAUCACUAGUGAAUUCGCGGCCGCC
rnacentral:rRNA from 1 species